rnacentral:rRNA from 1 species
CGCUGGCGGCGUGCUUAACACAUGCAAGUCGAGCGAUGAAGUUCCUUCGGGAACGGAUUAGCGGCGAACGGGUGAGGAACACGUGAGGAAUCUGCCUUCUACUCUGGGAUAACUCCGGGAAACCGGGGCUAAUACUGGAUAUGAAACUUGGUGGCAUCACCGAGUUUGAAAAGUUUUUCGGUAGAAGAUGACCUCGCGGCCUAUCAGCUUGUUGGUGAGGUAAUGGCUCACCAAGGCGACGACGGGUAGCCGGCCUGAGAGGGCGACCGGCCACACUGGGACUGAGACACGGCCCAGACUCCUACGGGAGGCAGCAGUGGGGAAUAUUGGGCAAUGGAGGAAACUCUGACCCAGCGACGCCGCGUGCGGGAUGAAGGCCUUCGGGUUGUAAACCGCUUUCAGCAGGGAAGAAGCGAAAGUGACGGUACCUGCAGAAGAAGCACCGGCUAACUAUGUGCCAGCAGCCGCGGUAAUACAUAGGGUGCAAGCGUUGUCCGGAAUUAUUGGGCGUAGAGAGCUCGUAGGUGGUUCGUUACGUCGGAUGUGAAAAUCUGGGGCUCAACCCCAGACCUGCAUUCGAUACGGGCGAACUAGAGUGUGGUAGGGGAGACUGGAAUUCCUGGUGUAGCGGUGGAAUGCGCAGAUAUCAGGAGGAACACCAAUGGCGAAGGCAGGUCUCUGGGCCAUUACUGACACUGAGGAGCGAAAGCGUGGGGAGCGAACAGGAUUAGAUACCCUGGUAGUCCACGCCGUAAACGGUGGGCACUAGUUGUGGGAACCUUCCACGGUUUCUGCGACGCAGCUAACGCAUUAAGUGCCCCGCCUGGGG